CCAGCGGUGCCGGGCACGGAGAGCGGGCCGACACCGCACCUCCGGCGGGAGCCGCUCCGCCGCCCCCCGCCCCGCCCGCACCCUCCCCCCCUUCCCCACCCCUCGCUCGCUGCCGUUCUCCUCCCUCUUUCCUAUCUCUCGCUCUCUCUCUGCCGGCCUCAUCGGAGAGAGUUGUAGUUCCUUCGGGGCCUGUGUGGACUAGGGGCACAACCCGGCGCCUGACUGGCAGGAGGGAAAGCGGAGACUCCUUCAGGUUUCCAAAGAGGUCCGAGCGGACUGCAUUAAGUUCAGUCUCAUCUCCAAGGCUCUGUAGGAUACCGAGACAGAUUGAAUGGCUAUUCAUCUUAAUGCAUAUCCUUUUCAGAGUCAGAGACUAGAUUGGCU
rnacentral:lncRNA from 1 species